AUAAUUAGAAUGAAAUUUUAUUUAUUAAUUAAAAUCAGUUUACAAAUAAAAUCAGUUUUACAAAACUAAACCAAAAAGUAAAAAAAAAAGUAAACCAUAACAAAUUAAACCAAACACUAGGUAAACACACAUUAAACCAAAACCUAAUUAACCAAUCCUAAACCUAAUCCGCCUCCUUCCUCAAGCACCACCGCAUCUACUACGUCUUGCUUCCGCGUCCUCGUGCUUCAUGCCUCAGGCUCAAAACACCUUUCUCUGAACCACAUCUACCUCUGCCUCCGUGUCUGGUUCGUCACUACCACCAUCUCCGCCGCAUCGUCUUCUCCCGCUGUCAUCUCCGCGCCACCUCCGCUGCAUCUUCUUCUUCCUUCUUCAUGACAUUGUCUCCUUUCACGCCUUCAUCUUCGCCACCGAACCAGAGGACGAGGCUUCACGGAGAAGGCGGCCGGAAGAGUAACACAGAGGAAGCUUCACGGAGUAGGCAUCAGGGAGGAGAAGGAACCAUCCGGAUAGGAGGAGAGGAGGAGCGUAUAGGAGUGAUGUGUAUUUGGAUCUCGUGUGUAUUUGCAGAUUGAAGUGGAGAAGAAAGACUUUGUGGUGGUUAAUUCUGGAUGGAAAAGAGAGAAGAAGAUAAGAGUUGGC
rnacentral:lncRNA from 1 species